rnacentral:misc_RNA from 1 species
UCCGGUUUGUCACCGGCAGUCUCAUUAGAGUGCUCAACUAAAUGGUAGCAACUAGAGACGAGGGUUGCGCUCGUUGCGGGACUUAACCCAACAUCUCACGACACGAGCUGACGACAGCCAUGCAGCACCUGUCACUCGGUUCCCGAAGGCACCCCCGCAUCUCUGCAGGGUUCCGAGGAUGUCAAGGCCAGGUAAGGUUCUUCGCGUUGCAUCGAAUUAAACCACAUGCUCCACCGCUUGUGCGGGCCCCCGUCAAUUUCUUUGAGUUUUAAUCUUGCGACCGUACUUCCCAGGCGGCAUAUUUAUCGCGUUGGCUACGCCACAAAAGGGGUCGAUUCCUUUUACAGCAAAUAUGCACCGUUUACAGCUAGGACUAC